UGGAGCUCCUGGCGUAACUGCACAGAAGCAUGCACUACCACAGCCUGCAUUUGCCUCUAGUAAUUGCAAGCUCUACACUGGGCUGGAAAGACCCCAUGGGAAUGUGAGAGUGAUUUAGAUAUUGCACACAAAUUUAGAAAAAAACAGUGGUAAGCUGUAAAUGCUAUGAAUCCCCUGAACACCUGUGUGUACAAAGAGGUUCCUGUGGCUUGGAAUAUAACUUAGGUUGUAUGGUCUUGGAACUUGGCCUGAAGAAAUUCAGAAUCUGGAAAACACCACAGCUUUACCUCUUUCUCGGAUGAAUUUUUUUUUUUUUUUUUUUUUUUUGAGACACAGUCUCACUCUGUUGCCCAGGCUGGAGUGCAGUGGCGUGAUCUUGAAUCACUGCAACCUCUGCCUCCCAGGUUCAAGUGAUUCUCCUGCCUCGACCUCCCGAGUAGCUGGGAUUACAGGCACAUGCCACCACCUCUGGCUAAUUUUUGUAUUUUUGGUAGAGACAGGUUUCACCAUGUUGGCCAUGCUGGUCUCGAACUUCUGACCUAAGGUGAUCCGCCUGCCUCGGCCUCCCAAAGUUCUGGGAUUACAGGCAUGAGCCAUGGCGCCUGGCCUCUCAGAUAAUUUUUAUUAGUGGUACUCUGCAGAUUCCUGUGGCAUCAGUGGAUUGAUUACCACUGUGGUGCUUCUACCUUGUAGUUUAUAGACUGUUCCUAAGCAAUGGUCAAUAUUCUAUGCCACCAUAUUCUGAGUAUUGUGCAUUUCCCACCGUUGUCAGAAAUUCACCAACUGAGCAGGACCCCUGAUGCCAGUCUUUAUUCUGCAUUCACAGGACUGCAGAAUUCUAGCCAUGGUGCAACUUCUAUUUUUGACUGUCCUUUUGCAGGACAAGCAUAUGAAAAUUCUGGACCAGGAUUCUGGACUGGUGUGGGAACUGGAGGAAUAUUGGGUAUUUGUUUGGCAGCAGUAUAUCAGCAGCACUCUUUUUAGACAUGUGGCACCCGCCCCCCAUCUUAUCCUCCAUUGUACUCUAGCACAUGGAAUAAUCAUCCUACUGCUUAGAGGAGGCCCAGGUCAAACUCUGACCCGAGAACAACAACUGCCUCAGGGUAUGGUGGUAUCAGAAGAUGA
rnacentral:lncRNA from 1 species